UACGAAGGGGGCGAGCGUUGUUCGGAUUCAUUGGGCGUAAAGGGUGCGUAGGUGGCGCCGUAAGUCGGGUGUGAAAUUUCGGAGCUUAACUCCGAAACUGCAUUCGAUACUGCGGUGCUUGAGGACUGGAGAGGAGACUGGAAUUCAUGGUGUAGCAGUGAAAUGCGUAGAGAUCAUGAGGAAGACCAGUGGCGAAGGCGGGUCUCUGGACAGUUCCUGACACUGAGGCACGAAGGCCAGGGGAGCAAACGGG
rnacentral:rRNA from 1 species